rnacentral:rRNA from 1 species
UACGGGGGGGGCAAGCGUUGUUCGGAAUUACUGGGCGUAAAGGGCUCGUAGGCGGCCAACUAAGUCAGACGUGAAAUCCCUCGGCUUAACCGGGGAACUGCAUCUGAUACUGGAUGGCUUGAGUUCGGGAGAGGGAUGCGGAAUUCCAGGUGUAGCGGUGAAAUGCGUAGAUAUCUGGAGGAACACCGGUGGCGAAGGCGGCAUCCUGGACCGACACUGACGCUGAGGAGCGAAAGCCAGGGGAGCAAACGGA